rnacentral:tRNA from 1 species
GAGGGUAUAGCUCAGUGGUAGGGUGUGUGCCUAGCUAGCAUGCACUAGGUCCUGGGUUCAAUCCCCAGUACCUCCA